UGGGGGUGCGAUGAUGAUAAAUGUUAAUCCCAGCUCAUUAUGAGGCCUUGUUUUUAGAGACUAAGGCCUGGGAAUAGACUCUAUAGACUCUAUCCAACAUCUAUCUGAGCUUCAA